UUUUACGGAGAGUUUGAUCCUGGCUCAGGAUGAACGCUGGCGGCGUGCUUAACACAUGCAAGUCGAACGAUGAAGCCCAGCUUGCUGGGUGGAUUAGUGGCGAACGGGUGAGUAACACGUGAGUAACCUGCCCUUAACUCUGGGAUAAGCCUGGGAAACUGGGUCUAAUACCGGAUAGGAGCGCCUACCGCAUGGUGGGUGUUGGAAAGAUUUAUCGGUUUUGGAUGGACUCGCGGCCUAUCAGCUUGUUGGUGAGGUAAUGGCUCACCAAGGCGACGACGGGUAGCCGGCCUGAGAGGGUGACCGGCCACACUGGGACUGAGACACGGCCCAGACUCCUACGGGAGGCAGCAGUGGGGAAUAUUGCACAAUGGGCGAAAGCCUGAUGCAGCGACGCCGCGUGAGGGAUGACGGCCUUCGGGUUGUAAACCUCUUUCAGUAGGGAAGAAGCGAAA
rnacentral:rRNA from 1 species